CUGGGUCAGGGUUGGUGAAUGCACAGGCCACAACACUCUUCUGGGUCAGAGCUUCAUUCAGUCACAUGCUCUGUGGUGUAACUAACACCUGCCCAGUAGUUUGAAUCCUUCUUCAGUCCCCUUUGAGGACUGGAGCUGGACGACCUCCAGACUGUCCACUGUGGGGUCCUCUGAGUCACCUGUCUGAGCCGUCUCCAAGAGUGCCUGUCAGAUUCACCUGUCAGGUCCUGCAGAGCAUCAGUGUCUUUAGUCCCAGCAUCUCCAUCAGCCAUAAAGCAGUCAUCAGUACUGGACAUGAGAGAGACGUGGACGUCCCUGGUACCACCAGACAUUCUCCAGCGAGUGAGACGGGACGGUGCCUGCCAGCCUUCCUUCUCCCCUGAGAGCAGAGGACGUCCUGCUGCUCUGAGGACACUGCUGGAUGUCCAGACCAGACGUCCUCCAGUCAGUCCCCAUGUGUCCUCUCAGUGGAGCUGCAGACACUCUGACUGAACCAAGAGGAACAAACUUCAGCUCCAGUCCUGACGUGGGCCUGCACUGCAGCGUCUCGAGGAUGGAGUGUUUCCCUCUGCCCUCCACCUUCACCUCAGAGGAGCCUCCAUGCUGACGGCCUCACUGUGGAGCUGCUGCUGCUGCAAGUCUCUCCUCAUCAAAGUGACGGGACUCUGCAGCGCUGAUGAAGAGGAGGACUGAUUCCUGUUUCCUCCAUCAUGAACAACUCAACCACAACAGGGUUCCGUCUGGGUCUCCUGUUCUCUCUGCCUCUCCCACAACAUGGACAAGAGCUGUGAGAGCAGCAGCCGUCCAGCCAAGGACAGAACAAGCUUCAUCUGGAGGAACAGCUGGUCUGAGCUGCUGGACAUUUAGAACUCAGUCUGACUCUUGAAGGACUCAGAAGAGGAAAUCUGUCCUGACUGUUUGAUCUGGGAGGUACGACAAGCCUCUACUGCAUGUUCUUCUUUGUCCCUGAAGCCCAACCGGAAUAGCAGAAAGCCGCCACCUCUGAGCCUGGUUCUGCAAAGGUUUCUUCCUGUUAACAGGGAGUUUUUCCUUUCCACUGUCGCUGAUGCUUGCUCAUGUGGAUCUGUUGGGUUUCAGUUACAUAUGUUGUCUUUUACAACAAGAUAAAUGACACAGUUUUGUUGGCCUAUUCACUGAAACGUCAAAUUGUGAGAUGUUAACACUAAAUAUAUGCUAUUUUCUUUUGUCAAUGUUCAAGUUUAGAACUGUUGAGUA